AGUGAACGCUGGCGGUAGGCCUAACACAUGCAAGUCGAACGGCAGCACAGGAGAGCUUGCUCUCUGGGUGGCGAGUGGCGGACGGGUGAGGAAUACAUCGGAAUCUACUCUGUCGUGGGGGAUAACGUAGGGAAACUUACGCUAAUACCGCAUACGACCUACGGGUGAAAGCAGGGGACCUUCGGGCCUUGCGCGAUUGAAUGAGCCGAUGUCGGAUUAGAUAGUUGGCGGGGUAAAGGCCCACCAAGGCGACGAUCCGUAGCUGGUCUGAGAGGAUGAUCAGCCACACUGGAACUGAGACACGGUCCAGACUCCUACGGGAGGCAGCAGUGGGGAAUAUUGGACAAUGGGCGCAAGCCUGAUCCAGCCAUACCGCGUGGGUGAAGAAGGUCUUCGGGUUGUAAAGCCCUUUUGUUGGGAAAGAAAUCCAGCUGGCUAAUACCCGGUUGGGAUGACGGUACCCAAAGAAUAAGCACCGGCUAACUUCGUGCCAGCAGCCGCCGUAA
rnacentral:rRNA from 1 species